GCCUUACAUCACCAAGCACAGUGCAAGAAUGACCCUGGUCUGAAUGCCUCCUAACUUGGACUCAACAAAGAAUAGAUCCUAAUUAACUCCUAUGAGUUCCCUAAAACAGUGCUACCCUUCAUUCAACUUUUCUAAUCUUGCUGUCUUUACCCAUUUUUAUUUUUCAGGAUUUGUAGGAUGUGUGGAGUUCGUCAAACUCAAUGGACAGAUUUUACCUUUCAGCGGCCACAGUGAAAUGGUUGAGGCCAAACCCAGUCCUUUACUCUUCGAGAAAGACUGUGUGUCUGCAGAUGACUGUGCUCUGACCCCUUGCUUUAAGGAAUCCUGUCUUGCUCCGUCUUGUCUCAGUGGCAGUGAUUGUAUUGUGUCUCCCUCAGAGGACAGCUGGUGCACCUGUCUACAUAAUGUCUCUGCUUCAUUGUGUGGGACAUGUUCGUCUGCUAGUGAGCACAGAGAUGCUUGUGUCCAGGCCCAAAAAAGCCCACCUUUGUGGAUCAUCGCUGUUGUAGUUCCCCUAACCCUCAUUCUGUUAAUUGUUAUCCUUUGCUUUGUCCUGAGGAGGCAGGGAAAACAUAGGCAUACAAAACACAAGAGUCAGACAUGCCAUGCACUUUCAACUAAACAGUAUGGCAUGGACAAUGUGGCAUUCAGUCUGGACCAUGGUGAUGGUGGUCCCCAGGAUGGUUCCAAUGAAAGCAGCAAGCAGCCUGAUCUGAUAAUGCCAGGGAAGUUGAUUAGGGGAGUUGAGAGUUGUAGCGAAGGUGGUCUAUCUAGUCAUCUAACAGGGUUUGGAGGAAGUGAACUGGAGUACUAUGAGAUUGACAGCACAUAUACAGUGUGCUCCUCUAAUAUAGAGCAAGUAAAGCAAGAUGGUUGUGACAUUAACUCCCUUAGUUUUGUACCGUGGGAAAAAGGAACGAAGGGAACAUCUACACAAAGAGCGAGCCCUCAAGUUUCUCCAUCCAUGUGUGAAAGAGGAAAGCAAGAACCCACAAAGCCACAGCCCCAAGCCUAUCCUGAACCCUCUGAUCUCAGGAACUGUAAACCUCACACCAAAAGAAGUGGGGGUGGUGUAGAUGAUGGUCAGUACAGGGUCUGUAAAACUCACUUGCUCUCCAAGAAAAAGCUGAGCCCUGAACUGGUAGAUCCCCCUUGUUUUCUCACAGAAGAUGAGGUUAAGAGACUAGAUCAAAUACGAGACACUCCAGGACCACCCAAAAACCCUCCCAGACCCUUCAAUACAGCCAGGAUGGCAGAGAGCUCAUCAGAGAGCGAAAGUCACAGCUCUUUCACUUGCUCAGAAUAUGACUGUGAGAGGGAACUCUGCUGCAUCUGUUCACAGGACAACAGGCAUGGUCAUGCGACUGAAGAUUUGUCCAGAGGACAGCUCAUAUUAGCUGUCCCCUCACCCUUCAGAGAUGUUCAGACUCCUUCCGGUACAGCUGGAUGUGGAACCGUCCAGCAGUGGGAGAGCCUCUUAAAUCAAAGGAUCCACUUUAAUACCUACUCAGACGUUUUUGAGGACAUUGCAAGCCUGCCUGUCAUUCAGGCCUAUGACUGUGACACUCACAGUGAAGAAGAGCAGAUUAUUUGAAAAAGUUAAGGCUUUAAAGCUCUCUACACACUGUAACUGUUUUCAUUUACUUUACCUUUUUCAGAGGCUAUGAGGCAGAUUACUUAUGACACACAGAAAGUAAAGUGUGUAGUGUUUGCACCAGAACACAUUUACUAUAAGGUCAUCAAUACAGAUGCUAUAAUUACACUUUGGAAAUGAUUGAAUGGCUAGGAAAAGGUUCUUUUGAUGGUCAUUGGUGGGUGUGCAGUGCCAUCUGCUGGCAGGGCUCUAAUAGUACACCUGAUUGCUUCCCCCGCUUUAAAAGGCUGUGCGUUAGGAUCAUGUGUUAGUUCUUAACUAUAAAAUCAAUAUUGUAUGGAAGUGCAGCUGUUCACUUCCAGGUCUUGUAUUUUAAUCCUGCUGUACUUAUGUAAAAUAUGUAAAAUAUCCCAUACUUCACUUUAAAGUACACAGAAAUAAAGACUAUAGAAAAAGAACACAUUGCUGCUGUCAGAAGAAAACCUCGUAUCUCAAAUUUUGUCAUUUUUCAGUUUUUGGCAUAAUUUGAAGAUGGCUUCUGCUCUUAACAAUGUGUGUAUAAUGAAUUGAACAAAACAAAUGACCUAAAAUGUCUGGUUCCAUUGGCUUACAUUGUCUUAAAGUAAAGUAAGUUUUUUCCUUGUACUUUAAAGUUACUAUUGAGGAGAUACAAGGUCUUCCAAACAACAGUGAUAUACAGCUGUAUUAAAAAAGAAUACAACAUAGUCCCUCACACUGAAAAAAGCAAACGUAUAUUAUAUAUACUUUGAUACCUCGUGCGAGCCAGUAAAAAUGAAAAUGAUACAAAACUGUUUCAUUGUCUUUUAAUAGCUAGUUCUGUAACUGUCUUCAAAUUUCCAUAAAACAAAGUAUUCUGGGACAAUACUGGAAUAAUAAAAUACUUUAUUAAAACACUGAUCUAAGCACAUUUGCAGUUGUACAGAAGUAUAGAAAAGGAAAACAAACACAUACUGAUUCAUUUUAUACUGUUUACAGCAGAGCUUAACUGCAUUUUUAGUACCACUUUAGAAGAAGACCGCCUUAAAAAUCAUUAAUAAAUAGUUACAACACAUGAAUAAAAAGGGCAACAGUGGCCUGAUGUUUGCCUGAAUGUAAACCCACUUUCAUUUAUACAGUUAUACCUCAGACUUUUCUAGUCAUUGAUCUUACUUUGUAUUCUUCAUGAAUCGGUAUUAAACCUUUCAGCUUCAUCAGAUAUUCAUAUUUAUCUAACUUUAUAUAACUGGUCAUUUUGCUCUUUUUGUUAAUGUGCUAUAACUUUGUUAAUGCCAUCAAUAAACUUUGAACAUACUCUUACAAUAUAUAUAGAAUGAUCUAAACACAUAAACCAUAUGUGUUUAGUUCUGUUGAGACUUUCAGUUGUAGUGUUUUUUUUUGGGGGGGGGGUGUUAAUUAUCAUAUAUUAAAAUUAAGAUUUUUUUUUUGUUCUCUGAUAUGCAGUUGCAUGGAAAAGUUUGUGCACCCCUGGUCAAAUAUCAUGUUUUAUUGAUUUUCUAAGUAAAACACGUCACUUGGACACAUCCAUGUAAAAAUGGCAUUUGUCAGCUAAUUUAAUUGCAUAAUUGCUAUUUAUUUGUCAAUUUUAACAUAUUAGAAAAAGUAUAAAAUGUGUCAUGGCCUUUGUGCAGGCCAGAUUUUAUGUUAGCUUCUUAUUUUUCAUUAUAUAAAUUCAGCAAUAAACAGCAAUGCAAUGCUAAUGCAAACAGAGUGCUUUAAAGAGUGCAAAAGUGUGUUCUCUGUUGGGGGUGUGUUAACUUAAUUUCACUUAGUAAAUUUACAAAACCUUGGAAUUUGACCAGGGUCAUACACAAUUAUGUACUUUUCUGUUUUUCAACUGCAGAAUCAAUAUGUGCACAAGAAAAACCCCUCAGUGCAGAAAACGCAGCUUUAUUCAUUCGUUCGAGCUUUGAAACUGGUGGAUCUCCCAAACUGCAUUUGGUGUUUUUUUCUUUUCUUGAAGAAUGUUCACAAAUGGCAAAGAAUCAUUAGAAAUGUAGUGGACGGUAGUGAUUAAACUCACAUACCCCUCUUCUGUAUUUCCAGGCAUGGACAGCUACAACCAUACUAUGGUGUUUUACCUAUUUCAGUAUUUCAGUGCAAUUUUGUGCAUAGCUAAUUCUAAGUAAAAUAUUUUAAAAGAAAGUUACUUUGAUGAUUAAUCGAGGCUCCACAGUGCCAUCUGCUGCUCACAUUCUGAUAAUGCAUUGGGCUUCUUUCACUUUUUCAAAGCCUGGUUGAAUAAUGAUGUUUGAAUGUUGUACUUGCUGAAUGUUGCAUCUGCGUCCUAAACUUUGUAUUUAUGAUUUUUGCAUAAUCUGUACAUAUAAUAAGUCACAUUAAUGUUCAGACAAGGCAGCUCUGCUCCAAUCCUCCUGGCCCUACACUAUUGGAACUAAAUUCUGCAUCUGAGCCUGGACCAUUUGUUUUCUAGCUAGUUAAAAUGAAAAACAAAUUAAUCCGCAAGUUGUUGAUUAAGGUACUUCAAUAUGAUUUUUACCCUCCUAACAGUUGCAAGAACUGUGCCAUCAAUUUAAGUAAUACUGGAAGUUUAAGUAUACUGGGAAUUCUGGAAGUUCUCUGUGACCAAUGAUAAUUACUGCAGAGAUCAUAAAGGGUCAGCAGGGGCUCAAGCUUUUGUUCCUACUACGCAAUAACAUACCUGGCUCAACUGAUCAAGUUCUAACUUAAAAUACAUACAGUAAUUCAUUUUUGUCUCCUGUGGGAAACAUGAGUCCCCAAAGGAUAUCUCAAAAACCAUAUACAUACUGAUAUGCCAUAACUUUAUGAUCACCUCUUUGUUUCUACACUCAUUGUCUUACUAUAUCACCUACCACUUACUAUAUAGGUGCACUUUGUAGUUCUAUAAUUACAGACUGUAGUCCCUCUGUUUCUCUGUAUACUUUGUUAGCCCCCUUUUACCCUGUUCUUCAGUGGUCAGGACACCCCAUGGACCCUCACAGAGCAGGUACUAUUUGGGUGGUGGAUCAUUCAGCACUGCAGUAACAUUGAUGUGGUGGUGGUGUGUUAGUGUCUGUUGUGCUGGUACGAGUGGACCAGACACAGCAGUGCUGCUGAAGUUUUUGAACACUUUGUCCACUCACUGUCCACUCUAUUAGACACUCCUACCUUGUCAGUCCACCUUGUUGAUGUAAAGUCAGAUAUGAUUGCUCAUCUGUUGCCACACAGUUUGUGUUGGUCAUCCUCUAGUCCAAGGUCCAGUUAGAGAAAAUUUCCUCUGGCAAAGGUUUGGAACACCAUGUCUAACGUGCAUCAUGAUUCAGUGCCAUAUACUGUAUACUGAGGUAGCCUAGAACUUAUAUAAACAUUGUCAACAACUGAAUUUCAAAUCAAAUAAAGUGCAAUUCAGUCAUAUUUCAACAAUAUUUUUUGUCAAUAUUUUCUUUUUAGAGUGCGCCAUGUGAAAAAACUUCCCUCUGACACACUUUCUUCUCUGACAGCUGUAACUCACCUUGUCCCUCCCCUGUGUGAGCCUCACUCACUCAAAUCUCAGUGCUCAUUAUGAUGCACAGAUAUGACUGGCUGAGUAGCAUCUUGUGUGAUAUUUACAAUGCACGUGAUUGGUCUGUGAGUUUCCCGGACUGCUAAAGCCAUACUGUAAAGGCUAGAAAAGUUUCACUGGUUAAAAUAGGAACACCCUGAUGAAAUUAAAUAAUUUCCCAUAGUUUAUCGGGUAUAGGGCCAGGUAAGCAUAGGACAGCAUCUGAGUCCGGACUCAAACCGCAGUCCACCUGUUAGUGAUCUCUGCUCUAAUCCUUCAUCAGUAGUCACAGGACGCUGGCCACAGAACACUGAUCAACUCAGACCAGCGCAACACGCACUAACACACCACCACCAUAUCAGUGUUACUGCCGUGCUAAGAAGUGGU
ensembl:lncRNA